rnacentral:rRNA from 1 species
AUGAACGCUAGCUACAGGCUUAACACAUGCAAGUCGAGGGGCAGCAUGAACUUAGCUUGCUAAGUUUGAUGGCGACCGGCGCACGGGUGAGUAACACGUAUCCAACCUGCCGAUGACUCGGGGAUAGCCUUUCGAAAGAAAGAUUAAUACCCGAUGGCAUAGUUCUUCCGCAUGGUAGAACUAUUAAAGAAUUUCGGUCAUCGAUGGGGAUGCGUUCCAUUAGGUUGUUGGCGGGGUAACGGCCCACCAAGCCUUCGAUGGAUAGGGGUUCUGAGAGGAAGGUCCCCCACAUUGGAACUGAGACACGGUCCAAACUCCUACGGGAGGCAGCAGUGAGGAAUAUUGGUCAAUGGACGAGAGUCUGAACCAGCCAAGUAGCGUGAAGGAUGACUGCCCUAUGGGUUGUAAACUUCUUUUAUACGGGAAUAAAGUGAGGCACGUGUGCCUUUUUGUAUGUACCGUAUGAAUAAGGAUCGGCUAACUCCGUGCCAGCAGCCGCGGUAAUACGGAGGAUCCGAGCGUUAUCCGGAUUUAUUGGGUUUAAAGGGAGCGUAGGCGGACGCUUAAGUCAGUUGUGAAAGUUUGCGGCUCAACCGUAAAAUUGCAGUUGAUACUGGGUGUCUUGAGUACAGUAGAGGCAGGCGGAAUUCGUGGUGUAGCGGUGAAAUGCUUAGAUAUCACGAAGAACUCCGAUUGCGAAGGCAGCUUGCUGGACUGUAACUGACGCUGAUGCUCGAAAGUGUGGGUAUCAAACAGGAUUAGAUACCCUGGUAGUCCACACAGUAAACGAUGAAUACUCGCUGUUUGCGAUAUACAGUAAGCGGCCAAGCGAAAGCGUUAAGUAUUCCACCUGGGGAGUACGCCGGCAACGGUGAAACUCAAAGGAAUUGACGGGGGCCCGCACAAGCGGUGGAGCAUGUGGUUUAAUUCGAAGCAACGCGAAGAACCUUACCAGGUCUUGACAUCCUACUAACGAGAUAGAGAUAUGUUAGGUGCCCUUCGGGGAAAGUAGAGACAGGUGGUGCAUGGUUGUCGUCAGCUCGUGUCGUGAGAUGUUGGGUUAAGUCCCGCAACGAGCGCAACCCCUGUUUCUAGUUGCCAGCACGUAAAGGUGGGAACUCUAGAGAGACUGCCGGUGAUAAAUCGGAGGAAGGUGGGGACGACGUCAAAUCAUCAUGCCCUUUAUGUCCUGGGCUACACACGUACUACAAUGGCUAUAACAAAGAGAAGCGAGACAGUGAUGUGGAGCAAAACUCAAAAAAAUAGUCUCAGUUCGGAUUGAAGGCUGAAAUUCGCCUUCAUGAAGCUGGAAUUGCUAGUAAUGGCAGGUCAGCAUACUGCCGUGAAUACGUUCCCGGGCCUUGUACACACCGCCCGUCACACCAUGAGAGUUGGGAAUACCCGAAGCCUGUGAGCCAACAUAUUUAUAUGAGGCAGCAGUCGAAGGUAGAAUCGAUGAUUGGGGUG